rnacentral:rRNA from 1 species
GUCUCUCUUGAGUGGAUCCUGAGUACGACGGAGCACGUGAAAUUCCGUCGGAAUCUGGGAGGACCAUCUCCUAAGGCUAAAUACUCUCUAGUGACCGAUAGUGAACCAGUACCGUGAGGGAAAGGUGAAAAGCACCCCGGAAGGGGAGUGAAAUAGAACCUGAAACCGUGUGCUUACAAGUAGUCAGAGCCCGUUAAUGGGUGAUGGCGUGCCUUUUGUAGAAUGAACCGGCGAGUUACGAUUUGAUGCAAGGUUAAGCAGUAAAUGUGGAGCCGUAGCGAAAGCGAGUCUGAAUAGGGCGUUUAGUAUUUGGUCGUAGACCCGAAACCAGGUGAUCUACCCUUGGUCAGGUUGAAGUUCAGGUAACACUGAAUGGAGGACCGAACCGACUUACGUUGAAAAGUGAGCGGAUGAACUGAGGGUAGCGGAGAAAUUCCAAUCGAACCUGGAGAUAGCUGGUUCUCUCCGAAAUAGCUUUAGGGCUAGCCUCAAGUGAUGAUUAUUGGAGGUAGAGCACUGUUUGGACGAGGGGCCCCUCUCGGGUUACCGAAUUCAGACAAACUCCGAAUGCCAAUUAAUUUAACUUGGGAGUCAGAACAUGGGUGAUAAGGUCCGUGUUCGAAAGGGAAACAGCCCAGACCACCAGCUAAGGUCCCAAAAUAUAUGUUAAGUGGAAAAGGAUGUGGCGUUGCCCAGACAACUAGGAUGUUGGCUUAGAAGCAGCCAUCAUUUAAAGAGUGCGUAAUAGCUCACUAGUCGAGUGACACUGCGCCGAAAAUGUACCGGGGCUAAACAUAUUACCGAAGCUGUGGAUUGUCCUUUGGACAAUGGUAGGAGAGCGUUCUAAGGGCGUUGAAGCAUGAUCGUAAGGACAUGUGGAGCGCUUAGAAGUGAGAAUGCCGGUGUGAGUAGCGAAAGACGGGUGAGAAUCCCGUCCACCGAUUGACUAAGGUUUCCAGAGGAAGGCUCGUCCGCUCUGGGUUAGUCGGGUCCUAAGCUGAGGCCGACAGGCGUAGGCGAUGGAUAACAGGUUGAUAUUCCUGUACCACCUAUAAUCGUUUUAAUCGAUGGGGGGACGCAGUAGGAUAGGCGAAGCGUGCGAUUGGAUUGCACGUCUAAGCAGUAAGGCUGAGUAUUAGGCAAAUCCGGUACUCGUUAAGGCUGAGCUGUGAUGGGGAGAAGACAUUGUGUCUUCGAGUCGUUGAUUUCACACUGCCGAGAAAAGCCUCUAGAUAGAAAAUAGGUGCCCGUACCGCAAACCGACACAGGUAGUCAAGAUGAGAAUUCUAAGGUGAGCGAGCGAACUCUCGUUAAGGAACUCGGCAAAAUGACCCCGUAACUUCGGGAGAAGGGGUGCUCUUUAGGGUUAACGCCCAGAAGAGCCGCAGUGAAUAGGCCCAAGCGACUGUUUAUCAAAAACACAGGUCUCUGCUAAACCGUAAGGUGAUGUAUAGGGGCUGACGCCUGCCCGGUGCUGGAAGGUUAAGAGGAGUGGUUAGCUUCUGCGAAGCUACGAAUCGAAGCCCCAGUAAACGGCGGCCGUAACUAUAACGGUCCUAAGGUAGCGAAAUUCCUUGUCGGGUAAGUUCCGACCCGCACGAAAGGCGUAACGAUUUGGGCACUGUCUCAACGAGAGACUCGGUGAAAUCAUAGUACCUGUGAAGAUGCAGGUUACCCGCGACAGGACGGAAAGACCCCGUGGAGCUUUACUGUAGCCUGAUAUUGAAAUUCGGCACAGCUUGUACAGGAUAGGUAGGAGCCUUUGAAACGUGAGCGCUAGCUUACGUGGAGGCGCUGGUGGGAUACUACCCUAGCUGUGUUGGCUUUCUAACCCGCACCACUUAUCGUGGUGGGAGACAGUGUCAGGCGGGCAGUUUGACUGGGGCGGUCGCCUCCUAAAAGGUAACGGAGGCGCUCAAAGGUUCCCU